GACGAACGCUGGCGGCGUGCCUAAUACAUGCAAGUAGAACGCUGAAGCGAGGAGCUUGCUCUUCUUGGAUGAGUUGCGAACGGGUGAGUAACGCGUAGGUAACCUGCCUUGUAGCGGGGGAUAACUAUUGGAAACGAUAGCUAAUACCGCAUAACAAUGGAUGACACAUGUCAUUUAUUUGAAAGGGGCAAUUGCUCCACUACAAGAUGGACCUGCGUUGUAUUAGCUAGUAGGUGAGGUAAUGGCUCACCUAGGCGACGAUACAUAGCCGACCUGAGAGGGUGAUCGGCCACACUGGGACUGAGACACGGCCCAGACUCCUACGGGAGGCAGCAGUAGGGAAUCUUCGGCAAUGGGGGCAACCCUGACCGAGCAACGCCGCGUGAGUGAAGAAGGUUUUCGGAUCGUAAAGCUCUGUUGUAAGUCAAGAACGGGUGUGAGAGUGGAAAGUUCACACUGUGACGGUAGCUUACCAGAAGGGACGGCUAACUACGUG
rnacentral:rRNA from 1 species